AGAAAAGCAAAGAAGUAGUAAUUUUCAGGAAAGAAAUACUUUGCUAGCUCUGCAGUUAGUGAGAUUUGUUUCUCCCUUAAAAUUUGAGAGUGAAACUGAGGAAAUUCCCUGCAUAAGAGAUGGAGAUGGCCUCCACUUGCAGCAUAUAUCGUGUCUUACUUGAUUGGACUGUUCCUUACGAUGUUCGUGUUGCAAUCAAACACAUGAAAUUUCUCAAAACAUUUCUUAUGUGUGCAAGAAAGUGGAGCCAAAGCAAUGAUUUGUACUUGGAAUCUGACAAUGUUGUGAAGAAGGUGAGUCUUCCAUCUUUCUUAUCUUGCAUUGAAGAUACCUUUCACAAAUAUGAGGAGGAUAUUCACUCUCUUUCCCUUAGAUUAGAAACAGACAAAAAUGCCCAAAAUACUGUUAAUCUUGCAGUGUUCCUCGAAAUUAAGAAACAGAUCAAAUCACUGAAGCAAGAAAUCAUCCAAAAAAUCAUCCAAAUUUACUUUGCUUUGGCAAGCAACAGGUCAUUGCAAUCAAAUUCUUGUAUGACAGAUGAUGAACUGUUGGAAUUCAUAGACCUCAUCCUGCAAGAUCUAGCAGAUUUGACAAAUUACUAUAUGAAUUGGGAAAUUAGUGAAUCGUAUAUUUUGAGUGCUCAAGUCCAAGCCCUUGAAGCAAAGCUGACGUUCUUGAAAAGCUUCAUUCCCUUUGCCAAAAUGCGAGGAACUGCAGAUAUUCCUGCCUUGCUAUUGGCGCACUUUGAAGUGGCGGCUUUGAACGCAGCACGCCUCUCUUACAUGUUUUCUUAUUGGGAUGAUGCAAAGGAAAUGCACAAUCCUGAGUUCUACUCCAUGAUAUAUGAACAACAACAGAAGAUCAGAGCUGUUGAUUUUCAAGUCUAUGAGAUUUACAUGGAAGUUCUUAGAGCUACAAGAUCCUCAAAAUCAUUGCAUUAUCGAAUGAUGGAUCAGCAGAUAUUGAACAACUUCAAUGAUUCUCUUAUAGGUUGUCUCUGGGAGCUGUUCUGCUGCAGUUCAAGUUUUAUGGAUUCUAUGAAAGAUGAAAUGGGAAUACUCUAUGCAGGACUGAGAUUCUUGAGAAGCAUUUUAAGGGAGCAUCAGGAGAAAAUGGAUGAACAAAACGAAAAAAUUGGUGCUCUUCUUAGUGAGGCAGGCAUUAUAAUUUGCUCGCCUUCUCUAAACAGAGUGAAAGGAGGAGAAGUUAGCUUCUCAGAGUCCACAGAUGCCCUUGACUGUUAUGAUAUGCUGGCUAAUACCAACAUCCAUAUCAAGCAUUUUAAGGAUCAGAUCAGUGGCUCAAGCAUUAUUGAAAGUAUUCCUUCCGUUCAUAGCUUAAGAGCACCAGAAGUUAGCAAGACUUCCAGCCGCAUGCUAUCAAAAGGUAAAAUGCCAAUAACCCACGAAGUCAUGGUUGGUCUUGAUGAUGAGGCAGAAAAAGUAAUUGAACGACUUGUAAGCGGAUCAAAACAGGUGGAAAUUGUUCCCAUUGUGGGAAUGGCUGGGGUUGGUAAGACAACUUUAGCCAAAAAAGUUUACAAUGAUAGGUCAGUAAUCUGUAACUUCCACAUUCGUCUUUGGUGUACUGUUUCUCAAGAAUUUAACAUGAAAAAUGUGUUGCUUCAAAUUUUGUGCUCUGAUGGCAAACAUUCUAGGAAGGAUGAGUUUCAAAAUCUGGAUGAACAUGCGUUGCUUGAAAAGCUCUAUCAAAGGCUAUUGAAGAAUCGGUAUCUUGUUGUUUUUGAUGAUGUCUGGGACAUUGAGGUAUGGAAUGAGCUGAGAAUUGCAUUCCCCAAUGACAAGAAUGGAAGUAGAAUCAUCUUUACGAGUCGAUUUUCUAAUGUAGCUUCAGAGGUUCAAUAUGGUGGAGAACCUCACUAUCUUCACCCACUCAGUGAGAAAGAAAGUUUUGAACUACUGCUGAAGAAGGUUUUUGGAAAAGAAGAUUGUCCUCAAGGAUUGCGUGGAAUCGGAAUGGAGAUUGCCAAAAAGUGCAGGGGAUUACCAUUUGCAGUUGUUGUUGUUGCUGGAAUUCUAGCAACUAUAGAGCAUGAUAUUUUGGUUUGGGAAGAAUUUGCUGAAAGUUUAAGUUCGACCACGGUGUCUGGUACAGACCAGUGGAAGAAGUCAUUGGAGCUCAGUUAUGAGCAUUUACCAUAUCACUUGAAGGCAUGCCUGCUGUAUUUUGCAGCAUUUCGAGAAGAUGAAAAAAUUGGUGCCAAGAAUUUGAUGCGCCUCUGGAUUGCAGAAGGGUUUGUGGAAAAAAUUGAAGGAAAGAGAUCAGAGGUCAUUGCAGAAGAAUAUCUGAUGGACCUUAUUGGUCGAAACUUAGUUAUGGUAAGUAAAAGCGGAUCCAUUGGUGGAGUCAAAACUUGUUACAUUCAUGAUUUGAUAUUUGAGUUCUGUAAGGACGAGGCGAAAGAAAAGAAAUUUCUUCGGGUCCUGCAAGGGUAUGAUGAGCUUUCUAUCUUUAUUGAGCCUCCCAACCUACCUCGGUUGUCCAUUCGCUCCAGUGUAGAAGAUUUUAUAAAGUCAAAGCUAUUUUGUCCACAUUUAGGUACUCUGCUAUUCUUCUAUGUUACUCCAGGAUAUGAGUUUCGGUUGGUUAAUAUCUCCUUCCUUUUUUGCAUCUACAAACAUCUUAAAGUUUUGAAUUUAGAGGGCAUUAACCUAUGGCUGAAGGAGUUUCCAACUGAAGUCGAAUCACUUCUUUGUUUGAGGUACUUAGCCCUUACAGCUUGGUACAUGAAAUUCAUUCCGCCAUCUAUAGCCAAGCUCUCACAUUUGGAAACCUUUUGUCUCGUUUCUGGUGUGACGGUAUCAUUGCCAGAUAGCAUCUGGAACAUGAAGAAGUUGAGGCAUGUACAUGUGAGGCAUGGCGUCGUUAUUCCUUUCUCUUCCAACAACAACGUUGUUGAAAACCUCUCUAUUUUACCCAAUUUAGACACACUCUCUACUCUGCAUCUUGAUCUUGAUGAAGAGGGAGAGAACAUAUUGAGAAGGAUUCCCAACGUUCGCCGACUUAAAAUUCUCGAUUUGGGGGGACAAAACAGAGUAUGCUGCAACAUGAGUCGACUAGCAUGCCUGGAGUCACUCACCUUGUUAUGCCACUUCUCAAGUUCGCGGGAGUCUUUUCCCAUGAAUUUGAAGAAGUUGAGUCUUUAUAAUCUGGGUCUUCCCUGUAGUGAAAUGUCAUUGAUUGAACAACUACCCAAUCUUGAAGUACUCAAAUUAAGAGUCCAGUCAAUGGAGGGCCAAAGGUGGGAACUGAUGGAAGGAGGAUUCCCUAAACUCAGGGUCUUGACUUUGGAAUAUGUACUGAUUGUUGAGUGGAUAGAGACAGACCCUGACAGUGAUGAUUACUUCCCGUGCCUUCAGCAAUUAAAACUCGAAGGAAUUCCUAAUUUGAAAAUGAUGCCUGCUUGUUUAGGGGUUAUAUCUACUCUUGAAACAAUUACGGUGAAUUUUUGCGGAGAUGGUGUCAAAUCUUUAGUACGGGAAAUUGAAGAAGCACAGAAAUAUAAUGGGAAUGAGAAUCUGAAGAUCAUUUAUGAAAAAUAUUGAAGGGCAUCAGCUGGUGCAAUAUCAGAAGAUGGAGGUAAAAGUUGGAAAGGAUCGAUGACUCUUUUCUUAUCAAGAUAUGGCGGAAACAAUUAAUGAGAUUCGUACAACGUGCACCGUUUGAUCAAUCUGCACGGCAGCAUAAAGGCACCACUGCCUUAUGUGUAGACAUGCCUCUGGCUGCAGGGUUUUGUCAGCCUUCUGCGGGCUACCCAAGCCCGAAUUUGACACGAUCAGGCCCAUCCAUUUUGCUAUUCAACAGAUGCAUCGGUCACCUUUGGCAACCCCGAUGUCUAUGGAAGGGUAAUGCACCACUGAAUAAAAUCCAAAAGUUUGGAAAAAUUUUAUGAGUAUACCAGAAAUGAAACCAAAAAAAAAAAAAAAGGAAAAUGCUUACCUUUGUGCUUACAUCAUCCAAGUCAGUGCCCAAUCUUCCAGCCCUGAACAUAUAAGUCUAACUGAGCCUUUAAAGUCAAUUACUUUUCCUUAUUCAAUUUAUCCACUUGUUUCAAUCGAUAACAUCUUUGAAUGAUUUGUAGACUUAUCAAUAAUGUCUCCUGCAAUUAAUACAUAGCAGACCUAUGUAUCCUAAUGACCAAUAACACAUCUCAGCAGUGCCAAAAGGAAAGGUCUAUGACCCUACGCGUUACCUUGUAAGGAUGCUAACAACUACCACAAUGUUUAGUUGUGAUAAAGAAAAGAGUUAGGGAUAAAUAUAACUAAUUAAGGUGUCGUUAUGUGACAAUGCCAGGUGUGUCUUCUAUGUCUAAUAUUUAACGGGUGAUGAGGACCUACCUUUAUUUGUGAGGUGUAUUAGGUGGUGA